GGUGAGAUGGCCGAGUUGGUUAUGGCGCCAGGUUAAGGUCACCUUAACACCUACUUCCUGGUACGGAAACGUGCGUGGGUUCAAGUCCCACUCUCAUCA
rfam:Pestalotiopsis fici W106-1 unplaced genomic scaffold PFICI_Scf_9, whole genome shotgun sequence.